CGUCUAGGCGGGUCUGUAAGUCGGGUGUGAAAUCCCUCGGCUCAACCGAGGAACUGCGCCCGAUACUGCAGGUCUUGAGCGCAGGAGGGGAGAGCGGAACUCCUGGUGGAGCGGUGAUAUGCUUUGAUAUCAGGAGGAACGCCAGUGGCGAAAGCGGCUCUCUGGCCUGCUGCUGACGCUCAAGCGCGAAAGCCAGGGGAGCGAACG
rnacentral:rRNA from 1 species